UACAGAGGGGGCAAGCGUUAUUCGGAAUUAUUGGGCGUAAAGGGCGCGUAGGCGGUCGUGCAAGUGGAAGGUGAAAUCCCUCGGCUCAACCGAGGAACUGCCUUUCAAACUGCUUGACUUGAGUCCGGGAGAGGUGAGUGGAAUUCCCAGUGUAGCGGUGAAAUGCGUAGAUAUUGGGAGGAACACCAGUGGCGAAGGCGGCUCACUGGACCGGAACUGACGCUGAGGCGCGAAAGCGUGGGGAGCAAACGGG
rnacentral:rRNA from 1 species